AGAAUCAACGCUGGCGGCGCGCUUAACACAUGCAAGUCGAGCGAGAAAGUGGAGCAAUCCAUGAGUAAAGCGGCGUACGGGUGAGUAACACGUGGAUCAUCUACCUUUUUGUGGGGGAUAACCCUGGGAAACCGGAGCUAAUACCGCAUAAGUCCGUAAGGAGAAAGCAGCAAUGCGCUGAAAGAGGAGUCCGCGGCCGAUUAGCUAGUUGGUGAGGUAAUGGCUCACCAAGGCGAUGAUCGGUA
rnacentral:rRNA from 1 species